GUGCACAAAUAAGAGAUCGCAGGCGCGAGAGUGCCUACUGUGAGCUUGGCACUGUCAGGUGUCUGCCUGGGAGCAGAAUGCUUCGCGCGAAUCAACUGAGCCGUGUGGAGGGCGAGGCCUAAAGGAAGAGGUCCUAAUGUGAUUGGUCACUUUGGUGGCCAUUUCAGGAUGUGAAAGUGACCUCUGCAGUAACAUCCCUGCUUCUGCCAACUGGUUUUUGGUGGUUUUUUCCUUCGAAAACCAAAAGAAUAUGAAAAUACCAUCACAAAUGGGAGGUGAUGGCAGCAUGUGCAGAAGUGGCACAAGACAGCAGAGCUUCAACAGGAGCAACAGGAUGGACAGGUCAGACCAGAUGGAUGGGGACUUGUCCUGGAAUUGUUUGUGGAACUGGUGUCAGAUGUGGUGGAGGACUUGGACCCAGUGGCUCAUGCUAUGCUCACACUCCUGGCUCCACAAAAUUACCAACACAGCUUAAAAUGAGAGCACUUGAUUUUUCCGAGCUGACUCCAAUAAUUACUUCUUCCAAACCAUCAACAUGUCUAUUAAACCCCAUCCCUACAAGACUGCUCAAAGAAGUCAUAGCAUUAAUUAAUGGUAUAACUCCUUUUUAAAAUUUGAUCAAUUUAUCUCUGUUAACAGGCUCCUUACUACAGGCAUUUAACCCUUUUAAGCCCAACAUAGAACCACCAGACCUCAUCUUUAGAUUUUUACAUGCUGUAGUGCCAUUUUUUUGAGCAUUUCAAGAUUCUAUGCAUCAUUACAACUGUUAUAUCCUAAAUCUUAAUAAUAUGUAUGCAUUAAGUCCAUAGUAACUAAAUAAAUUGCUAAAGAGUGCAAUAAACUACAAAGAAAUUGAAAAUUGUUUUUGAUUUUACACAUUCUUCUACUCAAAAUUGCAAAUGCAAAAAAAUGCACAGUGUCUUUAAAUUUCAUUUUUAAGAUGCACUAAUUUUUAUUAACUGCAGCAAAACAUGAAAAUAGAUAUUAUUGUGCACAAUUUGCAAAAACAGCAUGUGCAUCAAAAUAAACUAUUUCCAACAGUGCAAUCAAGCCUAGGCAUCCCGGGAACAAUAAAGAAAGAGGCACAAAGUCAAACAUGACUUUCAUUAGCAAAUGAAAUGAAAGUCAAACAUGACUUUCAUUUCCUGGAGAGGAAAAAAAGACAAACAACAAAAAAACUACCUUUCCCAUGAAAAUGAUGUCACUUCCUUUUUUCGCAGGUAAUGACAGACAUGUGAUUGUUUGUGCUGACAAUGUGAUGUUGUUUAUUCCAAUGUAGGAAGUGCUAUGAACAGCCCGAUCAGAUUGACAGAGUAUGUGUCUGGAUCAUAAUGUUUUUAUUGUUGCAUGUGCUUUUUAUGUAAAGCCAUUAGUAGUUGGAAACUGCAGCUUGGGACAGGUUGAAUUCAUGAUACAGUGGCUUGCAAAAGUAUUCGGCCCCCUUGAACCUUCCCACAUUUUGUCACAUUACAGCCACAAACAUGAAUCAAUUUUAUU